UUAAAUUAGUUUAAUAUAAAAUAUUGAUUUGUGGAUUCAAAGAUUUUUUAAU
rnacentral:tRNA from 1 species